UUACGGCCAUAUCAUGUUAAAACAUCAGUUCCCGUACGAUCAUCGAAGUUAAGCAACGUUGAAUUUGGUCAGUAGCGAGAUAGGUGACCGUUUGGGAAUACCAGGUGCUGUAAG